UCUCAGUGCUCUAGUGGUUAAGUGCUCCGGCGCGAGACUGGUAGAUCCUGGGUUCGAAUCUCGCGAGGCG
rnacentral:tRNA from 1 species